AUUCGGACAGGGUGCAAUUAGUGCAAUAAUAUAUUAUAUGUUUUACAUUUCUUGUCAUCUUCUCUUUUAAACAUUCAGGACAGCAAAUGGAUUUCCCCCCGUGACUUACGCUAUCGCUGCACAGGAGGGUAAUGGGGUUCAUGUCUCAGAUUGCCCUUGUUUUGUAACAUCUGGUAACUCCCAGGGUAUAUCGGCCAAGGAUAUGUGGCUUGAGAUGAAAGAGCAUGGAUCCUUUGAUCGGCUUAACUGUGCUGAUAUGUCAAUGCCCUCUGAAGUGGGUUCAUCCAUUGGUGCGGCCAUUGCAGCUUCAGUUACAGUUCCAUCUGAUGCAGUUCGUACGGUAACAUUUUCAUUGUCAUGGGACUGUCCUGAAGUGACCUUUUGUAGAGGAAAAACUUAUCACAGGCGUUACACAAAA
rnacentral:misc_RNA from 1 species